rnacentral:rRNA from 1 species
UACAGAGGUCUCGAGCGUUGUUCGGAUUCAUUGGGCGUAAAGGGUGCGUAGGCGGCGGGGUAAGUCUGAUGUGAAAUCCCGGGGCUCAACCCUGGAACUGCAUUGGAUACUGCCUUGCUAGAGAGCUGGAGAGGAAACUGGAAUUUACGGUGUAGCAGUGAAAUGCGUAGAGAUCGUAAGGAAGACCAGUGGCGAAGGCGACUUACUGGACACAUAUUGACGCUGAGGUGCGAAAGCGUGGGGAGCAAACAGG